UAGGGAAUCUUCGGCAAUGGGGGCAACCCUGACCGAGCAACGCCGCGUGAGUGAAGAAGGUUUUCGGAUCGUAAAGCUCUGUUGUAAGAGAAGAACGUGUGUGAGAGUGGAAAGUUCACACAGUGACGGUAACUUACCAGAAAGGGACGGCUAACUACGUGCCAGCAGCCGCGGUAAUACGUAGGUCCCGAGCGGUGUCCGGAUUUAUUGGGCGUAAAGCGAGCGCAGGCGGUUUAAUAAGUCUGAAGUUAAAGGCAGUGGCUUAACCAUUGUUCGCUUUGGAAACUGUUAGACUUGAGUGCAGAAGGGGAGAGUGGAAUUCCAUGUGUAGCGUUGAAAUGCGUAGAUAUAUGGAGGAACACCGGUGGCGAAAGCGGCUCUCUGGUCUGUAACUGACGCUGAGGCUCGAAAGCGUGGGGAGCAAACAGG
rnacentral:rRNA from 1 species